UCUAACGACACCCAGGGUAGCUGUGUUUCCUUGGCCACCUCAGAGGCAGGAUUGGUAAGACCCUACCAUGGACCCUGGAAUCUCUGGGCAACCCAGAGAUUGGCACGUGGUGUGGUGGGACCAGAGAGGAUCCCAGCUGAUGCUCAGGACAGCCACUGGCGUCUCUGCCUUGGGAGGGUCCCGCCCUGGGACAGCAGGGGAAUCGGUCAUGCGCUGACUCUUGGGCUAGGAGUUAAGAAGGAGACAGUCCGAACCACAAACCACGUGGAAAGCAGACAGAAGCUGGGUCCUCCCUGCCCUCUGAGUUCUAAGACAAGCUCCAACCUCCUCUAUUUCCUGAAAGGAAGCCCAGAGAGUCUUCACCAAGAUUUCUCUGAACACCCAGGGAGGGUACACAUACCACCACUGCGACGCGUGUUGGGUCAGGGUCACUCUGGCUUCCUCAUGGAGAAUGGCCUACAGGAGGGCAGGACGGGAGCAGCGGCAUCUUCUGAGGAUGACUUCAGUGAUCCAGGCGAGAGGUCUCCAGCCCACUGGAAAAUGAUUCAUCUUCUGCCUCCCUAUUGAGAUCAGCCUAGAUUUCAGCUGCCUACUGUGCCAAAGACAGAGCCCAGAUUAUGAGUCCAAAACACCACAGAUCAAGCACUGGGGUCUCCCGGUGGAAACACCAGCGACAGAGGAGCAAGGUGUCAUGGGGUCAAGCUUCAUCGCUGGAAGGCAGGGCAGUCCGGGCCCACUGUGACCCCGCCCCCCCAACGUGGAAACUCUGUGAUGCAGUUUGCAAGUCCUGGGGACCUGCGCUGGAUGAGGAGUGGGCUCAGAGGGCUGGUGGGCUGCCGGGCUGCCUGUGGCCCGAGGGAAGAUGAUCAGGUCGGCCAGCGAGGAGACAGGAGGGCACACGGGUGCUGCAGGAAGGGUCACCUGUGCCCAGCAGCCUCCCCCACACAUCGAGGGAACCAUCCAUGUGCUGUUCUGUCCACACAACUCCACUCCACCACCACGGAUGUGCCUGCUUCCAGCUCUGCCUCUUUCUGACCAGGACAGGAGCCAGAUGCACCAGCAUCUGAAAUGCCAAGUAUACAAACUCAAAUACCAUCCUUCAGAGCUUGAGUGUCAGGAACCACAUGGACUUGAGCACAAGUCUGGCGUGGAGGCUUGUUCUGAGCACCAUUUCAAUCGAGUCCCGCAACCAGCUUUUAUAAAACUUCCAAACUCGGGACCACUAUGAUGCCUUCAAGUUCCAUCUCCAGAAGUCGCCUUUGCUUCAUUCAUCGCUGAUGAAAAUAAAAACCCAUUUAAAAAAAUGACCUGAAGAGAGAACCCAUUCUGAGUUUCAAUCUGUAGUUGCCACCUGGAUCAAUAGCAUAGAAAAAUAGACUUUGAGAACAAAACCUAAUCCUGCCUUUCAUUUUCUGGUUUGAAAUGAAACAAGAUAUUGAUAUGCAAGUGGAGAGGCUCAUUGAUUCAUGAGAAGCCAUUGGAGGCAGCAGGCAGGAGAUAUCAUGAUAAAUACACGGUUCUGGUUGAAUUGAUGACUCUGGCUUUGACUGUUAUUACUCCAGGAUCUCUGAGUCACGGUAUUGACACUUGCCUCUUUGAUGUGAGUAUUCUAGACUCUGGUGUGGCACCAUGCCAGGCCUUCUGAGCUUCUACAGUUAACAGUCUCUAAGCUGCCUUCCUGAGAGCUCAGACAAAAGCAACACAUGCGGGUUUUCUGAGAUGGA